AGCGAACGCUGGCGGCAGGCUUAACACAUGCAAGUCGAACGGGCACUUCGGUGUCAGUGGCAGACGGGUGAGUAACACGUGGGAACGUACCUUUUGGUUCGGAACAACUGAGGGAAACUUCAGCUAAUACCGGAUAAGCCCUUACGGGGAAAGAUUUAUCGCCGAAAGAUCGGCCCGCGUCUGAUUAGCUAGUUGGUAGGGUAAUGGCCUACCAAGGCGACGAUCAGUAGCUGGUCGGAGAGGAUGAUCAGCCAAAUUGGGACUGAGACACGGCCAGAACCCCACCGGGGGGCGGAAGUGGGAAAUUUGGGACAAGGGGGGCAACCUUGAUCCAGCCAUGCCGCGUGAGGGAUGAAGCCCAUAGGGUUGUAAAGCUCUUUUGUGCGGGAAGAUAAUGACGGUACCGCAAGAAUAAGCCCCGGCUAACUUCGUGCCAGCCGCCGCCGUAA
rnacentral:rRNA from 1 species